UGGGGAAUAUUGGACAAUGGGCGCAAGCCUGAUCCAGCCAUGCCGCGUGAGUGAUGACGGCCUUAGGGUUGUAAAGCUCUUUCGCUAGGGACGAUAAUGACGGUACCGGGAGAAUAAGCCCCGGCUAACUUCGUGCCAGCAGCCGCGGUAAUACGAAGGGGGCUAGCGUUGUUCGGAAUUACUGGGCGUAAAGCGCACGUAGGCGGAUCCUUAAGUCAGGGGUGAAAUCCCGAGGCUCAACCUCGGAACUGCCUUUGAUACUGGGGAUAUCGAGUCCGGGAGAGGUGAGUGGAACUGCGAGUGUAGAGGUGAAAUUCGUAGAUAUUCGCAAGAACACCAGUGGCGAAGGCGGCUCACUGGCCCGGUACUGACGCUGAGGUGCGAAAGCGUGGGGAGCAAACAGGACUAGAUACCCUGGUAGUCCACGCCGUAAACGAUGGAUGCUAGCCGUUAGACAGCUUGCUGUUUAGUGGCGCAGUUAACGCGUUAAGCAUCCCGCCUGGGGAGUACGGUCGCAAGA
rnacentral:rRNA from 1 species